GAAGUUUUUCUGGUGCUUGCACUAGAAAAACUUAGCGGCGAACGGGUGAGUAACACGUAAAGAACCUGCCUCAUAGACGGGGACAACUAUUGGAAACGAUAGCUAAUACCGGAUAACAGCAUAAAUCGCAUGAUAUAUGUUUAAAAGUUGGUUUCGGCUAACACUAUGAGAUGGCUUUGCGGUGCAUUAGCUAGUUGGUGGGGUAAAGGCCUACCAAGGCGACGAUGCAUAGCCGACCUGAGAGGGUGAUCGGCCACACUGGGACUGAGACACGGCCCAGACUCCUACGGGAGGCAGCAGUAGGGAAUCUUCCGCAAUGGGCGAAAGCCUGACGGAGCAACGCCGCGUGAGUGAAGAAGGAUUUCGGUUCGUAAAGCUCUGUUGUUAGGGAAGAAUGAUUGUAUAGUAACUAUAUACAGUAGAGACGGUACCUAACCAGAAAGCCACGGCUAACUACGUGCCAGCAGCCGCGGUAAUACGUAGGUGGCAAGCGUUGUCCGGAAUUAUUGGGCGUAAAGCGCGCGCAGGUGGUUUAAUAAGUCUGAUGUGAAAGCCCACGGCUCAACCGUGGAGGGUCAUUGGAAACUGUUAAACUUGAGUGCAGGAGAGAAAAGUGGAAUUCCUAGUGUAGCGGUGAAAUGCGUAGAGAUUAGGAGGAACACCAGUGGCGAAGGCGGCUUUUUGGCCUGUAACUGACACUGAGGCGCGAAAGCGUGGGGAGCAAACAGGAUUAGAUAUCCUGGUAGUCCACGCCGUAAACGAUGAGUGCUAAGUGUUGGUCUCAUAAGAGAUCAGUGCUGCAGCUAACG
rnacentral:rRNA from 1 species